AAAAACAAAUUUUUCAAACAAAAAUUAUUAGUUUUUUUUAAUUACAGUUUGCUUUGUUUUUGCAUGCCUGUAAUCGGCCCGUGGGCAUUACGGAAGAAUAAUGCCCUACAAUUCAAUUACAAUUAGCCAAUCAAAGCGCGCAUUUCAGUCCAUAAAA